rnacentral:lncRNA from 1 species
UCGAGAUCAGAUCAGAGUGGACCGAAGCUUUCUACGUUUUACAUUACGGAAAUUCCCAAACCAGAAGAUUUGAAAAAAACGCUUGAAACAUCGCUUGGGAUCAAAGGUAAGAAGAACGCACGUGAACAUUGCCACUUUUGGUUUGGAAAAAACAAGCCGCUUAUUUUUGCAUAUUUUGCGGUGGCGGACAUGCAGGUAUACGCCCCCAAUGAAGAAACGGAGCUGUCUCUCCAUUUUGUAUAUGGCUAGACUCCUGAUCCUGGCACGAAGGCUUGGGUCAUCGGACCUUCUACUCACUGUUCCUUAAUUUUUGCUUUUCUACAUCAGUACGCGCUAUAUUAAGCUUCUACUAUGCAGCGUGGGCGUCAGGCGCCUAUAUAGCGUAACUUUCUUCAACAUAAAAUUUUUUCUUUUAAAUUUUAAUAGUAGAUUUACAAUUACAUGUCACACAUUUUUAAUCUUUGAAAGAGGUUUACACCGUCACACACUUUGAUAAAAUAAAUCGUCGACGCCGAUGGUGCAAGCUAGCCUAACCUAUUCGUUGAAGAUUCUGCCGUAUACUGACAGAGGCGAGAAUAGGUGUUAUUUUUAUGGCUAUGCCUGUAACGUAAACACUUUUAGGUAUGAGUUAAAAAACUAUAUUCUGACCAUUAUGAAUUCACAAGAUGGCCGCUAAACUUAAGCAUACAGCUGGUCAGGUCCCGGCCCGCCUAAUAGCAAGGUUUUUAUAUAUAUUAUACUGUAUAAUUUAUAGUUCAUAAUAUGGUCCAGGAUCGCGUAUUAACACAAGGAAUAAGCACAGAGCAAUAAAAACACAAGAACCGGCGAUUUACAGUACGAAAAUUGACGCGAGUUCGUUCCGAAUUGACAAUAUACCAAGAAAUAUAGUUUGUUUAAAUUUUUUUAGUGUGAAAUGCGUAGUUUGACGUGCAUGUGUUUAUAUUUGAACGCCAUUCUGGGAUAAAGUUCAACGUGACCCUGGUCGAACUCGAUUAGUUUUCGUCGUGUAAAGCUGGCUUAUUAUAUAGUUUAUAGUGUAAACCCUUACUUUUCCUCGAAAUCCAGUAGUUCACUCAGGAGAUUGUAGGCCUUCAUUGCGAUGCGAGCUUUCUGCUGAAAUUGUAUUCCAAAAUUAACACGCGCAGUUGCUUUAAAAUGAUUGAAAUAUUAAAUUGAAGUGAAGUGGUCUGUACAAACAGGUGUUGUUUAUGCAUAUACAUUGAAAAGAAUGGAAUAGGCAAUGUCAAUGAGAUGACACUUCAUCAAGUUCUGCAGUUGUAGGAAGGGACAAGCGACGACCCUUCUGGACCUCCAGGAAGAACAGUUUAGAACUGAUAAAGUAUAAAUAAAGUUAGUUUAGUUUAGGUUUCCUCCUGUAGUAACGCUGAAUCAACCAGGGAUGUCCCUUAAUUUGUUUAGAACUGAUAAAACUAACAGGUAUAAAUAAAGUUAGUUUAGUUUAGGUUUUCUCCUGUAUAACCCCGGAUCAAUAAGAGAUGAUCCUUAUACUUGACCUCUAGGAAGAACAGUUUAGAACCGUGAUAAAACUAUCAGGUAUAAAUAAAUUUAGUUCAGUUUAGGUUUCCUCCUGUAGUAGCACUAGAUCGUCAACGGACGUCGUAUACUCAGUGAUCCGCCGUAUAGAAAAAACAGAAAUUUUCAUAAAAGGAUUCUCAUCAAUUUUGAGCCGGUUGUCAAAUUUCGAAGAGAGUUAAUGAGUGCUUUUGUUCGUUUCAAAGGUAAUAUCCAUUCAACUCUAAUCAGACAGUCGGCAUGAGAGUUGAGUCUUGAGAAUCCUCUCAUGCAAACUCUCGCUUCUCAACUCUCAUCUUCGUUCGACCAGGGUUUUAGCUAUCUUUCAAUAAGAACAUGCAUUGGACCAAUAAGCUUAAAAACUAAAUAAUAGACUCGGAGGAGGCCAUCAAAAUCGCUUACUGCAUGACGGCGUUCGAAGUGUUUUUCCCUCAAGUUUUAAUGAACUAUUAUAAUCAGUGCCGCAGGCCGCAGACGGAAAUCAAAGUAAUAUCAAAUUUACACCUUUUUUCUGAUAUUGGCUUUUCGCCUAACAACCUAUCAGCAGAAACCACAUAUUUUGUAUAUGAAUAACACGAAUUUACAUCACAACAUAACCGCUUAAAAUUAAAAGCUUUUUAAUUGUUUUUGCUCUUUUCCCGCCUGGCAGGUGUUGUGAAGAAGGAGCGGUUACUAUUCCUUGUGGGGCAGACGAGAAUACAUCUGGAUAGAGUGGAAAAUUUAGGGUGCUUUAUGGAAUUAGAGGUACAGAUUAUGUUUUAGUCGCAGUGACCUCCAUGUGUAUCUAGAGCGAGAACUCGAGUUCGAAACAUGAAGGCAACGAUGGAGCUAUGGGCAAUUCCAGCUUUUAAUUUAUGCACGCAGGGGGUGAUGGGAAGUAAGGUAUCAUAUUGCUGAUUAUGCUGAAAAAUUUCAAUAAAAACUGCCGAAACAACCGAAAUAUUUCAAUAUUUACAAGUAUAAGCUAUCACUCCGUGGUUACACGGCCGUCAUUUUUAUUUUUUCAGCAUAAUCAGCAAUAUGAUAGCUUACUUCCCAUCCCCCUCUGCGCGCAGAAAUUAAAAGCUGGAAUUGCCUAUAAAUUGGGUGUCAGUUUCAGUCUCUAUUGUUUUUGUCUGCAAGGACUGGGGUGUGCCGAAAUUUCGUUUUUUGACUUCGAUUUAAAGAAUAAUGGUUUUAUGAGCUGAUAACUUGAUUAGCGAUGUGCAUGAUCCGUUAGAUAAAACUGGGUAUCGGACGUCAAUUCAGCCAUCUUGGCUGCACGGUUCUUGUAUAGGCCGAAUGACUGAAAUUCUUGCUCCAUAUAUAUGGAGGUGUGAGGAGGGGGAAUAGUAGUCGAGCAUUUACAUUAAUGACUAUAUAUAUAUAUAUAUCAUUGUCUCUCGCAGGUUGUAUUGCGUGAAAACGAAACAACGGAGGUGGGGUCGGAAAUAGCGAACGAUUUAAUGAAAAAGCUGAAUGUUGAGGAAAAGGAUUUGAUAACGUGUGCUUAUAUAGACCUGCUUAGCAAAACUAAUAAUAAAUAAUAAAAUAAUAAAAUAACAGAGUGCACUGUUAUCUGUAAACAGCCCUAAGAUUACAGUAAUUAAUAAUACUUUUUGUUUGUGGAAACUGCACCACGUUAAUUUAUUACUACAAAGCUUUCGAUCUGUAAGCCCGGAUCUUCAUCAGUGCUAAUAUGUGACUUGUUCAAU